AUACGUAGGGGACGAGCGUUGUCCGGAAUUACUGGGCGUAAAGGGCGCGCAGGCGGAUAUUUAAGUCAGCUGUAAAAGGCAUGAGCUCAACUCAUGUAUGCGGUUGAAACUGGGUAUCUAGAGUGCUGGAGAGGUAGGCGGAAUUUCCGGUGUAGCGGUGAAAUGCGUAGAUAUCGGGAAGAACACCAGUGGCGAAGGCGGCUUACUGGCCAGCAACUGACGCUGAGGCGCGAAAGCCAGGGGAGCGAACGGGAUUAGAUACCCCGGUAGUCCUGGCCGUAAACGAUGAAUGCUAGGUGUGGGUGUCGAGAGGCAUCCGUGCCGGAGUUAACGCGAUAAGCAUUCCGCCUGGGGAGUACGAUCGCAAGAUUGAAACUCAAAUGAAUUGGCGGGG
rnacentral:rRNA from 1 species